UACGAAGGGGGCUAGCGUUGUUCGGAAUUAUUGGGCGUAAAGGGCGCGUAGGCGGCUUGGCAAGUGGACGGUGAAAUCCCUCGGCUUAACCGAGGAACUGCCGUCCAAACUGCUUUGCUUGAGACCGGGAGAGGUGAGUGGAAUUCCCAGUGUAGCGGUGAAAUGCGUAGAUAUUGGGAGGAACACCAGUGGCGAAGGCGGCUCACUGGACCGGUACUGACGCUGAUGCGCGAAAGCGUGGGGAGCAAACGGG
rnacentral:rRNA from 1 species